rnacentral:rRNA from 1 species
CGACCGAUCCUGAUGUAUUCGGAUGGAUUUGAGUAAGAGCAUACGGGGCCGGACCCGAAAGAAGGUGAACUAUGCCUGUGUAGGGUGAAGCCAGAGGAAACUCUGGUGGAGGCUCGCAGCGGUUCUGACGUGCAAAUCGAUCGUCAAACAUGGGCAUGGGGGCGAAAGACUAAUCGAACCUUCUAGUAGCUGGUUUCCGCCGAAGUUUCCCUCAGGAUAGCAGUGUUGAACUCAGUUUUAUGAGGUAAAGCGAAUGAUUAGGGACUCGGGGGCGCUAUUUAGCCUUCAUCCAUUCUCAAACUUUAAAUAUGUAAGAAGCCCUUGUUGCUUAAUUGAACGUGGGCAUUCGAAUGAAUCAACACUAGUGGGCCAUUUUUGGUAAGCAGAACUGGCGAUGCGGGAUGAACCGAACGCGAGGUUAAGGUGCCAGAGUAGACGCUCAUCAGACACCACAAAAGGUGUUAGUACAUCUUGACAGCAGGACGGUGGCCAUGGAAGUCGGAAUCCGCUAAGGACUGUGUAACAACUCACCUGCCGAAUGUACUAGCCCUGAAAAUGGAUGGCGCUCAAGCGUCUCACCCAUACCUCGCCCUCAGNGUAGAAACGAUGCCCUGAGGAGUAGGCGGACGUG